CUCUCCCCCUCUACUUGUUCCAAUUUGGUGGAACAGCUUUCUUUUGCGCUUUGGGGCCAUUGGGGGGCUAAUUCAAUAACCCCUCAAAAAAAAAAGAUGGGUUUUUUUCCUUUUUCUUUUUUCUUUUAUGGGUUUGUAGAAAAAUUAAAUUUUUUUUAUAUGUUUGAAAAAUUAGGGUAUGGGAGGAGGUGACAGAAGAGAGUGAGCACAUAAGGUACUUUCUUGCAUGCUUAGGGUUCAUGCUUGAAGCUUUCUGUGCUUACUCUCUAUCUGUCACCCCAUUUUUACCAUCUCUCCCUCUAUUUUUGUUUCUGCCUAAAGUUCUGAUUUUUAUUUACAUAAGUUGUUAAUUUUACUUAAUUACUCUUAUGGAGUUAUUUUUAAAAUUACCUUUGAAGAGGUUAGUUUGAUAUCUAAAAAUUGCUCAGCAAGGGUUGCUUAGUCAGGUGGGAAAUACGUUGAGGUAAAUCAGAAAAGUUUGGGUACGAGGAGUCGUUAGACACCAUUUCAGGAUCUCGAUCAUUGUUUGGAAAAAACCCGCAACCCCUUGAGGUUAUACUACUUUUUUUCCUUUGUUUGAGAGAUUUUUGCCCUAGCUAGGCACGUGGAAGAGAAGCUGAGCUGAGCUCUCACAGGUCUGAAAGAUCCCAUCUUUGUUUUUUUUUUUUUCUUUGUGGAAAUUAUCAAAAUCCAUCCGAGGAUUUAUCAAUCACGUGGGUUUGUGUUUUGCAGCUGAUUUUUGAUGAUAUUAAUGAAAAUUUUCUGCAUUUGCUUUU